rnacentral:rRNA from 1 species
GAAAGUUAUUUAUAAUGUAUAAUAUAAGUUAUUUAAUGUGAGUAGACUAGUUUGAAGUAUAAUAAUUAUAAAAAGUACUGUAAGGGAGGCUUAAUUAAAAGAAAGAUUUUAUUAUUAAAUUACCUUUUGUAUUAGGGACAUUUAAAAUAAGAGUUUAGGUAGACUAUCCCGAAUUAUUUGUGGGCUAACUAAGGUUUUAAUUAUUGUUACAUAAAUGUGAAUAACUGUUAGUUAGGGAUGAAAUAUUAGUCAAACGGUAGGAUAUCUGGUUUUCUUAUAAGUAAAUUGAAUUUAUAGAAUUAUUAAUUCUUAAAGUAUUGUUAGGUUUAGCUAAUAGUAAGCCAAUAUUGGAAUAAGAGAUUUUCUUGGGUAGAUUUAAUAAUGAUUGUUCAUUAAAUUUUGUUAUUAUUUAGGUGAAAAAGUAGACUAUUAAGCUAAUAUUUGGGGGGUAUAAGAAUAUGAGGUAGAAUAAAUUAGUUAUAGAAAUAUUGAGUGUAUUAGUAGCUUAUGCUGUAUUUAUUUUAAUGAACAUUUGAGGAGAAUUAAAGUAAAAUUAGGUAUUGUUAAGGAACUCGGCAAGGUGAUCCUGCCUGUUUAAUAAAAACAUGGUUCUUCGGGUUUUAAUGAAGAAUCUGGCCUGCCCGCUGAAAUAAGUUGAAGGGCUGCAGUAUUUUGACUGUACAAAGGUAGCAUAGUCAUUAGUCUUUUGAUUGAGGACUGGAAUGAAUGGUUUGACAGGGUCACACUGUCUCAACAAUAUGAAGUUAAUUUUACAUCUUUGUGAAAAGGCAAGGAUGAGCUAUAGGGACGAGAAGACCCUAUAAAACUUGAUUUUAAUAGAUAUAUUAUUUGGAGGAUAAAUUUAAUAUGUUCGUUAAGGGUUUGCUGGGGCGGUAUUUAUUUUACAUAAAUUUAAUGAAAUGAUGAUGGUUAGCUUAGGGAUUGAUCCGGCAUUGGGCCGAUAAAAAGAAGAAGUUACUUUAGGGAUAACAGCGUAAUGGUUUUUGAGAGUUCUUAUUGACGAAAUUGUUUGCGACCUCGAUGUUGGAUUAAGGAAU